rnacentral:lncRNA from 1 species
CUCCAAGAUACAGAGCAUGAAACAGAGAAUUUGCAAUAGGUACAGAGAACAGGGUAUUUUUCUACUUCUAUCGAUUUUAACUCAUGUCCACACGAGUGGGGUUCUUAAAUAUUAAAAAGGGUUGGUUAAGCCUGGAAGGAGUUGGCAUUCAAAAAGCUGAUUCCCACAGUUUUGAGAACGAUAGAAAUGAUUCUCACAGUAAAAUCGUUCCAUCAGUGAAAUAACACUUUCUUUUGAAGGGUAUCCUGUUACACGUUUGAACUGUCCUGUUUGUUACCGCCAUAAUUGGAAUUUACAAGUCAUAGAUAGAAAAUGGCGGCAGUGACACCAAUCUACUAUUACCCUGCCACUUAAAUUGUUGACAUCUCGUUCAAGGUUAGGUUAGUCCCGUGGUGUUUACAUAAAUGAAUUUUAUUGUGUUUAUGAGCAUUUGGGCUGAUGGGUGUAUCCCUUGACUGUUUUCUACAUGAAAUGUAAACAGACUACUAGACAAGAUGCAUAAAUUCAAACUUUCAAUCACAGUCUACUUAUGUCAAACCGUACACACAAGACAAGACAGCCUCUGCAGUAAGAAAACAUGGUGACCUCAAUAUCAACAUUUCAACUUCAACUCAGCUGUUGCACGUUGUUCAUGCUAAGGAGAACGAAGGAUGGAGAAAGAACACUACUCAUUGAGGAGACUCUCAGUACCGUUAUAGUGCGCUGUCUGAUUCAAAUGAUCGUUGAAGGUAGUCUCCCCCGGUCAGAGCGGUCUUCGGUUUACGUCGCGCAGCAUGACGGGAGGGGAAGUGCAAGUGGACUCCCGUGCUCCAAAGCGCUGCCCCGCGGAAACGGACCCCGCUGCGCCAACUUUGAAAAGUCAUAA